rnacentral:rRNA from 1 species
AACGAACGCUGGCGGCAUGCCUAACACAUGCAAGUCGAACGAGACCUUCGGGUCUGGUGGCGCACGGGUGCGUAACGCGUGGGAACCUGCCUUUAGGUCUGGAAUAACUCCCCGAAUGGCGUGCUAAUACCGGCUAAUGUAUUCCGUCCAACGUUUUAUCGCCUUUGGAUGGGCCUGCGUUGGAUUAGUUAGUUGGUAGGGUAAAAGCCUACAGAGGCGAGGUUCCAUAGCUGGUAUGAGAGGAUGGUCAGCAACACUGGGAGUGGGACACGGCCCGGACUCCGGCCGGAGGCAGCAGUGGGGAAUAAGGGACAAUGGGCGAGAGCCUGAGCCAGCAGUGCCGCGUGGGUGAUGAAGGCCUGAGGGUUGUAAAGCACUUUUUCCCGGGAUGAUAAGGCCAGAACCGGAAGAAUAGGCUCCGGCUAACUCCGU